rnacentral:misc_RNA from 1 species
UGAACCACCUUAGGGCCAAACGUGAACCACCAUAAGACCACCAUACCACAUACCACCAUAGGACCUACAAAACAACUUCCGACUCCGAAGAGCCUCGCAAUGCCACGUAUGGCGAAUCCGCAGUUGCACUACAACGCUGUUAGCUACAGUACAGAAUCCCACUGUCGAUGCAAGUACGCUACAUCCUGGUUGUACUGUACUGUACUGUACUGUAUACUAUACUCAACAUCCGCUCAAAGAUCAUCUCCUGCCGCAAGACUCGCCAGUUCGAGUACACAUUUCCAAGACACUAAUUAGCGCCCGCAGUGAGGAUUCGAAACGUGAUUGCGGCAGAUAUUCGGCCGGACAAAGUCGUUGUUCCAUCGUCUACACGUAUUGUAGGAGUAUGGAGUAGACAAUACAAGUAUCGUACAAAUGUACAAAUAUCGUACAA